GUAGAAAUAAGGUGAAGAGAACAGGUCCUAAAUUUAAAAAGUUUGAGUGACACUAUCUAUUUUAGUUUUCAAGCAACAAAUUCCGGCAAGUGUGGUAAAACUUUAUUUUUUCCUCCAAAACUUAAUCUUACAACAAUCAACCUCAUCUCCUUUAGAACAACUCAACCUAAAACAUAAAGUUUUUAAAAAUUAAAAAAAGGAAAGUAAUUGUGGUUUUAAUCAAGAGAUGCGUAAUGCUUCUAAAUUGAUGUUCAACUCACUUGUUUUGACUUCUUAAUUGUAUGAUCUAUCAUUUUGUGUUUUAAUUUUGGAAGGAAAAAUAAAAGUAAGCCCUAUAUGUUGGAUUUUGUUGCUGAAAAACCAAAAAGGUAGUGGCAGUAAAACUUUUUAAAUUUAGUGAGUAACUUUUUUGAUAAAAAUUUUAAGCGGUAGUUGCUGAUUAAAUGACCUAUUAGGCGGGUAAUUCCUAACUAUAUUUCUUUUAUUUUAUGAUUACAUAAAAUAAAUAAAGAUAUUAACAUGAUUAAAAAAAAAAUGGAGAUAUUAUUAAAAAGUGCAUUAGCAAUUAUGUACCUUCAAAGUAAAAGAACAAAAGAUCCAAAAUAGAGGGAGUAUUCAACAGUUCAUCAUAUGAUUUCACUUCUUAUAAUGAAGAAAAAUUGUUUGGCCGAACAAAUUAACAUGGAAAUUCAAAAUAUCCUAAUCGGGCUUAGUAAGCAAUUCAUUCUUCAGUGUAUUAAUUACUUCUACUCGUUGUCUCGCUCCACUUUUUAAAGUGUAACAAUUGACUUAGGACAUAGUUUUAGGCAUCUUAUGUUUAUUUCACCUAAUCAGUAAUCUUAAAGAAUAAAUAUAAUUGAAAAUCAGUAAAAGUAAUUUCAGUUCAGUAAAAAUAAUUUCAAUUCAGUAAAAUUAAUUUCAAUUCAAUAAAAAUAAUUUAACACUAUACAAAAAAGAGUAUUUUCUCGACGCUUGACCCUCGACGUGGGCAAGGAGAGUCAACUAUUAAAUAUACUAUGCGCAUUAUUUCGACGCUUUUCUGGGUCGAAAUUAAUUUUUGGCGCUAUAAAGCGUCGAGAAACAGUAACACGUCCCCUAUACGUGACUGUAAAACCCACUAUUGUAAAAUUUAGGGAAAAUGAAACCGCCGAACACAAACAAAAAAACCUCUAGUCUUACUGCUCAGUUGUAAACCUAACUAUUCUUCUCUCUUUAAAUCCUAAAUCUACAAAGACACUUAUGGAACUGUUGAUUCCAAACUCAGAACUUUGUUUUUCUCGCAGCAAUUUUAAAAUGAGGACUAUCAUUUUGUAAAUCAGAUUUUUGCUCCUCUUUGAAGUUAUUUCGAAUUGAGGUACAUCAAUUUCAUAUUCAGAUCUUUGUUCUUAUCAGGUUCAAAUUCGAAUUCAGUGUUAGUUUUUCGAAGGAGCUGCUGUGAAUGCUGACUUCGUUGGACUCGUUCUACUACGUUAGAGAAGCUCUUUAGGAUUCUAAAUUUUUUACAAGUGCGUGAGAGCUUUAAAAUCCUUUACUUCAUUUCAUUAUAAAGAAACUAUUGCAGGAAAGGCGGGUCUAGGGUCACAUGCUGCUAGUGGUGUCAAGGAAUAUAUGGGAGAAUGUCCAGGAAGGAAUAUUGAAUCACUUGCUUCCUUCCCAUGAAUUUAAAUUCUUAAAAAGCUUGUUUUACCUAAUGGUUUGUUCAAUCCUCUGAGGUAAAUACACGAGACUGCUUCUUCAAAGGUCCUGUUAUGGAUGGAAUAAGGUAAAACUUUGUCCCAAUAAAUUAGUCCAAAUUGAAUAAAUAACUUAUAAUUUAUUAUGAUUUCUCUUCAUUUCUUGCUGCUUGAUAGUUUAAUGAAGAUCUGGAAUUUGAACAAGUUAUCUGGGACUAUAGGAGUGGUUUACUGUUAAGGAGUAGGGAGUUGGCCAUUGAAAGAUAAUAUUCUAGAUACUUUAAUACCAGGAAUUAUUUCAGGCCAAAUCAGGCCCAAUGAUGUCGAAUUCCUUGGAAAGGUUGGUGGUGAUACCUAGCAAUGAGAUUGUGUAGUUUAUGCUUUCAAUUCUGGUAAACUUGUCAUUUAAACUUAGCAGUCUAGCAUAGCCUAAUAAACCUUCCUGAUAUGUUCAAGUAGUUGCUUGACUACUGAAUUCUCCGAAUUACAUGAUACACUACUAAAACCAUCACCAAAAUUCCAAAUAAUGGAAAAGUGGAAGUGUCAUUUGGCGUUCUGACAUGUGAAUUAUAUACAAUCUGUCCUAUAAAGGUUAGUAAUCAACAUACCCACUCCUUAUUUUCAUUUUUAGUAUCUAAGUGUGGCAAAUUUUUAUUGUUGCGGUUAUUUCUAUUGGAGGAUUACAGGUAUAAGAUUAUUGAUUAAUUUAACUGAUUUUUUUUCAUCAGACAACCUUCGGCCAGUUGCUUCCACUCUAAAUUUUCCCUUCUUCCUCCAUUCAUGAUGAACUUUGCUUUACGCCCUCUUGCAAGCAUAUUAAGGAACAGCUAAAUUGGAGAUUGAUUGAAGAUUUUUUUUGAGAAUAAAUGAGCAAAUUUCUUCCACUACAACUAGUCACGAAUCAAGUAUAAGUUGGAAUAAUAUCUAUUGUAAUAGAAAACUCAUUACUAUGAGAUAUUGUACAUAUACUAUAAUAUACCUAUAUGAAAUAAAAAGAAGUUUGGCCCUUUUUUUUUCA